UUGAACUUCUAAGCGAGAAUUGAAUGUGUGAAAUAUCACAAUUUAAAAAUAUUUGUAUUUCGCUUGAAAAUUAAAAUAACGGAAAGAACUAACGUAUACACAGAUAACAUGUUAUUACGUUUAGGUUUGAUAGUUAUAGGCCAAUUUUCUCUAAUACUGGAACCAACAGCAAUAAAUUGAUUUUGCUGAUCGCAAAUUCGUCCUAACACGCGUAGCGUUCUCUAUGAGACUAAGUAUUCCACGUUACCACGAUAAAUAAAAAAAUUCCGUUAUCAUCCAAUCGUAUGACUGACGCAAUUUUGCUGCGGAGCCAAUAAAUGCACGACUCUUAACUCGACGGCACUCGCCGUCCCGGAGAUCGUUCGGUUUUAUCGUAUUCUUAUUAGUUCCCCGUUUAACCGUUUCUCUCUUUAUGGCCACUUAUAAGUACCUAUAUAUAUAUAUAGGUAUUUAAAUUUAACAAAAGUUUACGAUACUCGUAUAUUAUUUACUUAUUACUACAAUAUAAAUCGUUUAUUAUAGUGUAUAAUAUACAUACACGCGCUAUUAUAAUACCAAAGCUGUAAAAUCAAAUAUUAUAAUAUUCAACUCGAAUUUGCGUUAAAUUAAUUUAUACACAUUGUCGUAAGAACGGUUUCUGAAGUGCAUUUUUGAUAAACAUUAUACAAAUACGAGUAACUACACUGUGUAUACAGGAUGAUACAAACUGUUUAUCCAUUGUGUCUGGUUUUU